rnacentral:rRNA from 1 species
CCCUACGGGGGGCAGCAGUAGGGAAUCUUCCACAAUGGGCGAAAGCCUGAUGGAGCAACGCCGCGUGGGUGAAGAAGGUCUUCGGAUCGUAAAACCUGUUGUUAGAGAAGAAAGUGCGUGAGAGUAACUGUUCACGUUUCGACGGUAUCUAACCAGAAAGCCACGGCUAACUACGUGCCAGCAGCCGCGGUAAUACGUAGGUGGCAAGCGUUAUCCGGAUUUAUUGGGCGUAAAGGGAACGCAGGCGGUCUUUUAAGUCUGAUGUGAAAGCCUUCGGCUUAACCGGAGUAGUGCAUUGGAAACUG